rnacentral:tRNA from 1 species
ACUGCGAUAGCUCGGUUGGUAGAGCGUCUGUCUGGUAUGCGGAGUGUCGCCGGUUCGAUUUCGGCUCGCGGCG